UACGUAGGGUGCGAGCGUUAAUCGGAAUUACUGGGCGUAAAGCGUGCGCAGGCGGUUAUGUAAGACAGGUGUGAAAUCCCCGGGCUUAACCUGGGAACUGCAUUUGUGACUGCAUAGCUAGAGUACGGUAGAGGGGGAUGGAAUUCCGCGUGUAGCAGUGAAAUGCGUAGAGAUGCGGAGGAACACCGAUGGCGAAGGCAGCCCCCCUGGGCUGACACUGACGCUCAGGCACGAAAGCGUGGGGAGCAAACAGG
rnacentral:rRNA from 1 species